GAUGAACGCUGACAGAAUGCUUAACACAUGCAAGUCAACUGGAACUUCGGUGUGGGUUGCGGACGGGUGAGUAACGCGUAGAGAACUUGCCUCACAGAUAGGGACAACAUUUGGAAACGAAUGCUAAUACCUGAUAUUAUGAUUAUAUGGCAUCGUAUAAGUAUGAAAGCUAAAUGCGCUGUGAUAGAGCUUUGCGUCCCGUUAGCUAGUUGGAGGGGUAAGGGCUCUCCAAGGCGAUGAUGGGUAGUCGGCCUGAGUGGGUGAGCGGCCACACGGGGACUGAGACACGGACCGUACUCAUACCGGCGGGAGGAGUGGGGAAUAUAGGAUAAUGGACCAAGAGUAUGAUGAAGCAAUUCUGUGUGCAGGAUGAAGUUUUUCGGAAUGUAAAGUGCUUUCAGUUGGGAAGAAAAAAAUGACGGUACCAACAGAAGAAGUGACGGCUAAAUACGUG
rnacentral:rRNA from 1 species